UUAUUCUGUUUUUUGAAGGAUAGUAGCAGGUGGAGAAAUAUCUGUUUCAAGUGGUUAUGAGACAAUUUAUGAUGUGAGGUUAAAUGCUCCUUGGCCAUAUAAGAGUAGAGGGUAUCCUCUAGUGCAGAAUGAAUAGCAUUAACAAACAGUUCGUCUAUCUCAACCUCAUUCAAGUAGCGGCAAUCCGCGGGCCUCAGAGCACUUUUGAUUAAUUGUUUUGAAUGCGGUAUGAUAAACAUAGCAGUGAUCAUGGAAAGGCUGAUUAGGCGAAAUGAUGUGAAUAGCUAGAAACUAACUCUGAGGGGCCACGUGCUCCAAACCUCGAUAAGAGAUACCUCCUUUGAAUCUGAAGAGUUGAAAACUAGCGGGGGACAUCUGAUGUUACAAAACACCCACCCAAGGAAAGCCACGAGCUGUCACGACGAUGUAGGGCCACGUGGCGAGGAUCAUACACAUAGGAAAAGCGAUCCAUUCUGAAGAUAAAAGAUCCAGACACCGCAAACACGCGGGUCAUCACCAAAAGACUCGCCCUUACCUCAUCAAGGCGAGACUCGAUAUAUGGUUGUCAUUGUCAAAGACAACUUAGCAUAUCUCUAUUACGUCUGUAAUCACGGGAUUCUUACUUAUUAGCCAGUGAUGUCCUAUAUCAAGCAGACGACUACAUCAACGCCGGAUUAUCAAAAAGAUAUCACAUUCAUCUCUACCUCCCAUGGUAAAAAAAAAUGAGAAGCAUCACAUAAAUAAAGAUAUAAUGUAUUCUUUCUAUCCUUCAAGAUACAGACUUGAGCGUCAGAGUAGCUGCCGUGGAC
rnacentral:lncRNA from 1 species